rnacentral:rRNA from 1 species
GACGAACGCUGGCGGCGUGCUUCAUACAUGCAAGUCGAACGAGAAGCUGACUUCGGUCAGUGGAAAGUGGCGGCCGGGUGAGUAAUAUGUAGGAAAUCUGCCUUUAGGAGGGGGACAACGGAGGGAACCUUCUGCUACUACCCCUUAUGCGCGUAGCUGCCAUGCUAUUCUUGAAAACUCCGGUGCCUCAAGAUGGGCCUGCAUCGGAUUAGCUAGUUGGUGGUGUAUUGGACUACCAAGGCGAAGAUCAGUAGCUGGGUGAAGAGGAUGAUCAGCCACAACGUGAGGGAGACACGAGUCAGAAAUCUACGGGAGGGAGCAGUAGGGAAUUGUGCGCAAUGGGCGUAAGUCAGACGCAGCAACGGCGUGUGAACGAUUAAUCCCGGCGGGGUGUAGAGUUCUGUCAGUGGGGACGAAUCUUGACGGUACCCAAAGAAGAAGCACCGGCUAACUUCGUG